rnacentral:rRNA from 1 species
AGUGAACGUUGGCGGCGUGGAUUAGGCAUGCAAGUCGAGCGAGAACCGUAGCAAUACGGGGACAGCGGCGAAAGGGACAGUAAUGUGUAGGUACCUACCUCCGGGUUCGGGAUAGCUGCGGGAAACUGCAGGUAAUACCGAAUAACGUCUCCGGACCAAAGGUGUGAUUCCACCUGGAGAGGGGCCUGCAUCCUAUUAGCUUGUUGGCGGGGUAACGGCCCACCAAGGCGACGAUGGGUAGCGGGUGUGAGAGCACGACCCGCGUCAUUGGGACUGAGACACUGCCCGGACACCUACGGGUGGCUGCAGUCGUGAAUCUUCGGCAAUGGGCGCAAGCCUGACCGAGCGUCGCCGCGUGCGGGAUGAAGGCCUUCGGGUUGUAAACCGCUGUCGUAGAGGAGGAAAUGCAGGGGGGUUCUCCCCUCUGUUUGACCUAUUCUAGGAGGAAGUACGGGCUAAGUUCGUGCCAGCCGCCGCAGUAA